CAUCUGUGACAUCAUGCUGGGGCUGCUUGCCCACUUGGCUCCCUCUAGGGAAGUACUCCCAGCUGCCCACAGUCAUCCUUCUCCAUCCCACUGACCUUCCACCCGUGACCAAUCAGGAGAUGUUUCCAGUUUAUUGGUGAAUUUAUUAGGGCUCAGAGAGGAUGACCUAUCCAAGGUCCCACUGCCAACUGAAUGUAGGACAAGUCUCUGAACCCAGUGUGCCCCUGCCAGAAAGUAGCAGGGAUCACAGAAGUCCAGCAGAGGUCUGCCGCCUUGGACCCCGCCUCUUACACAUUGAGUGUGGUUUCUGCAGUGAUGAUAGAUCCUCCGAAUGAGGAACAAUGUAUUCUUCUUUUCUCCUAAUUCUCCUAAAAAAUCCACUUGGGAGAUACCUGCUGCAAAACUUAAAGGCAACCAUAUUCUGUACUUAGAUGAAGUGUUUGUCAAGCUCCCUGGAAAAGAGAAUCAAAGGACCCUGACUUGUUUACUCUGCCUUCUGGAAGAAAAAAGUGAUGAGAGAGAGUGGCAAUCUCACACCAUGCUGAAAAGCGCCCCCCAACUAACUCAGAUCCAUGCGUCCCUUUGGGCCCUGAGGAAUAAUACUGCUGGUUUAAUUCAAGAUAUAAAACCAAUAAAAAUGGUUUACCUAAAGGAUAUGCCACAAUGGCCGUAUGUGAAACAAUAUCCUUUGUCCUGAGCUCGGUUUGAGAGAAUCAAACCCAUUAUAAAAGAAUUAGAAAAACAAGGGAUACUUCUAUAAAAGGUAGCCUCACCUUGUCAUACUCCCAUACUUCCAGUAAGCAAGGAAAGUAAAUUUGGUAAAGAUGGUUGACCAUUGUGUAGAUUUGUACAAGAUCUUUGAGAAGUAAAUGAAUUUGUAGUUCCUAAUCCUGCAACUAUUUUGACUUUGUUUCUGUUGUCUGUAAUGUGUUCUGCUUUUUCUUCCUGUUCCUGUCCAAACCCUUGUUUGCUUUUACCUACAAAGGAGUUCAAUACUUAACUUAGUAAAGAAUUUCUCAAG
rnacentral:lncRNA from 1 species